UCGCAUGUCGUACUUCUCACUAAAAAGUGUAGAACGAAAUAGAAACAACAAGCGAGAAACUGCAAUUCGUAUUAGACCUCCUGCAUUACAGAUACUUUUCGUUCUUUGCUUUUUGCAUUCGGGGAAGUCCCGUAGGUAGAGCGAAUGAGCUUAAAAUAACGGGAAACACUUCUGUAAUGAAAUAAGUAUAGCUAAAAUGACGCCAAAGGCAUGACUCGUCCGGGACGCCUACACGGCUAAGGCCGGCCCUGGUGUUGGUAUCACUUAUUUUACAUCGACAGUUCGGAUAUUAAAGAGGGCCAAUUUUGUUUGUGAAACGUAUCUAAUGACAUCCCACUAAAUGGGGCAGGUGAAAAAUGAAAUUUUGAGUACAGCUUUUUGGGCCAUCAUUCUAUAUCCGUAUUUCACAUUUCAUUUUAAUUAAAGUCCUUUAAGUAAGAGUGUGAUGGGGUUUAACAUACAGACCGAACAAAAAUUCCAGAUACUCCGUUACAUGAUGAUUUUUUUACACAUACCCUCAAGUGAAGUGUU